rnacentral:sRNA from 1 species
AACUUUGUCAGAGGGGAGUAACUAGAGGAUAGUAGAACUUUAAUUAUUAGCAACUACUAUUUAACACUUUAUCGUCAUUACGAAGGUAAGUCUUCCGGUAAAGUGGGCAAUACAAUUGCU